rnacentral:tRNA from 1 species
UCCCUGGUGGUCCAGUGGCUAUGAAUCCAUGCUCCCAAUUUGGAAGGCCUGGGUUUGAUCCCUGGUCAGGGAA